GCGGACAUGGCGGAAUUGGUAGACGCACCAGCUUGAGGGGCUGGCGAGUAACAUCGUGGAAGUUCGAGUCUUCUUGUCCGCACCA
rnacentral:tRNA from 1 species